UACGGAGGAUGCAAGCGUUAUCCGGAAUGAUUGGGCGUAAAGGGUCCGCAGGCGGCCCUGUAAGUCUGCUGUUAAAGAGUGAGGCCUAACCUCAUAAAAGCGGUGGAAACUACAGAGCUAGAGUGCGUUCGGGGUAGCAGGAAUUCCUGGUGUAGCGGUGAAAUGCGUAGAGAUCAGGAAGAACACCGGUGGCGAAAGCGUGCUACUAGGCCGUAACUGACACUGAGGGACGAAAGCUAGGGGAGCGAAUGGG
rnacentral:rRNA from 1 species